ACUUGAUAAACAUCGAGAGCUUCUCCAGUCGUGUGGUGUCUUUAUCUGAAUACCGCCAGAGCCUACACACUUACCUGCGCUCCAAGAUGAGCCAAGUAGCCCCCAGCCUGUCAGCCCUAAUUGGGGAAGCGGUGCGUCACAGGGGACUCAAAAAUGGGAGAAUAAGGACUGUUGCCAUGUGCACCUGCACUGCUGUAUUUCGUGACCCACCAUGUCUUCCCUAGUUGUGCUUGAUGGGGAGGUGGGGAGCAGGGCUGUCGUGCAACUGGGCAGGUCAGCAGUUCAUUUCUCUGACUGCUUCCUUGACUCUCUCUCCAGGUAGGUGCACGUCUCAUCGCACAUGCUGGCAGCCUCACCAACCUGGCCAAGUAUCCAGCAUCCACAGUGCAGAUCCUUGGGGCUGAAAAGGCCCUGUUCAGAGCCCUGAAGACAAGGGGUAACACUCCAAAAUAUGGACUCAUUUUCCACUCCACCUUCAUUGGCCGAGCAGCUGCCAAGAACAAAGGCCGCAUCUCCCGAUACCUGGCAAACAAAUGCAGUAUUGCCUCACGAAUCGAUUGCUUCUCUGAGGUGCCCACGAGUGUAUUCGGGGAGAAGCUUCGAGAACAAGUUGAAGAGCGACUGUCCUUCUAUGAGACUGGAGAGAUACCACGAAAGAAUCUGGAUGUCAUGAAGGAAGCAAUGGUUCAGGCAGAGGAAGCGGCUGCUGAGAUUACUAGGAAGCUGGAGAAACAGGAGAAGAAACGCUUAAAGAAGGAAAAGAAACGGCUGGCUGCACUUGCCCUCGCGUCUUCAGAAAACAGCAGUAGUACUCCAGAGGAGUGUGAGGUCAGUAGGCAGCACGGCCCUGGCAGAGAUCCUAGGUUGUAGGAUUUUCAACAGCAGAACAAAGGAUAUGCUGCAUCAAGCUGUGGUCUUGAGUCCAGGCUUUUGGACUGAAACAAGGACCUGAAACAUCUAAAACUACCUCUUGAUUCUAUAGGAAGGAGAUAGGUGCUGAACUUGCUCAAGAGCCCAGAGAGCUGGUUGUAGCUCACACCCGUUCCCUGGGCAUGUGUG
rnacentral:lncRNA from 1 species